CAGCAAUAACAUGAUGAAACACUGGUUCCCAUACAAUCACUGAAGUUAAGCAAUUUCAAGCUUGGUCAGUAUCUCGAUGGGUGACCACUUGGGUAUACUAGAUGCUGUAAG